GUAAGGAAUAUUGGUCAAUGGGCGAGAGCCUGAACCAGCCACGCCGCGUGAAGGAAGACGGCCCUACGGGUUGUAAACUUCUUUUCUACGGGAAUAAACCUCAGGACGUGUCCUGAGCUGAAGGUACCGUAGGAAUAAGCAUCGGCUAACUCCGUGCCAGCAGCCGCGGUAAUACGGAGGAUGCAAGCGUUAUCCGGAUUUAUUGGGUUUAAAGGGUGCGUAGGUGGGAUGAUAAGUCAGAGGUGAAAGCUAGCAGCUUAACUGUUAAAUUGCCUUUGAUACUGUUAUUCUUGAGUGUAGUUGGCGUUGGCGGAAUGUGACAUGUAGCGGUGAAAUGCGUAGAUAUGUCACAGAACACCGAUCGCGAAGGCAGCUAACGAAGCUAUCACUGACACUGAUGCACGAAAGCGUGGGGAGCAAACAGGAUUAGAAACCCCUGUAGUCC
rnacentral:rRNA from 1 species